ensembl:lncRNA
GAACAUUGCAGCCCCAUCAGACUCAGGGACAGAACAGCCACCAGUGUUCUUAAAAUCCAGGACCAGGUUCUAUCACCACGGUAACACUGGUCAGUCAGACCCUCCGCCUUUCCUCCUCUCCCUUCCCACCCAUGUAGAAUAUAAAUAUUUUAGAAUAUAGAUAUUAUAGGACAUAGAUAUUGUAGAAAAUAGAUAUGUAGGUAUUGUAGAAUAUAGAUAUUGUAGGUGUUGUAGAAUAUUGAUAUUAUAGGUAUUGUAUAAUAAAGAUAUUGUAGAAAAUAGAUAUGUAGGUAUUGUAGAAUAUAGAUAUUGUAGGUAAUGUAGAAUAUACACAUUGUAGAAUAUAGAUAUUGUAGAAUAUAGAUAUUGUAGAAUAUAGGUAUUGUAGAAUAUAGAUAUUGUAGAAAAUAGAUAUGGUAAAUUAUAGAUGUUG